GCCUCUUGGUCUGGGACAACUGUUGGAAACGACAGCUAAUACCGGAUAUUAUGAGAUUCUCGCAUGGGAAACUUAUGAAAGCUAUAUGCGCCAAGAGAGAGCCUUGCGUUCCAUUAGCUAGUUGGUGGGGUAACGGCCCACCAAGGCGACGAUGGAUAGCCGGCCUGAGAGGGUGAACGGCCACAAGGGGACUGAGACACGGCCCUUACUCCUACGGGAGGCAGCAGUGGGGAAUAUUGGACAAUGGGCCACAAGCCUGAUCCAGCAAUUCUGUGUGCACGAUGAAGGUCUUCGGAUUGUAAAGUGCUUUCAGUUGGGAAGAAGAAAGUGACGGUACCAACAGAAGAAGCGACGGCUAAAUACGUGCCAGCAGCCGCGGUAAUACGUAUGUCGCAAGCGUUAUCCGGAUUUAUUGGGCGUAAAGCGCGUCUAGGCGGAAAAAUAAGUCUGAUGUUAAAAUGCGGGGCUCAACUCCGUAUUGCGUUGGAAACUGUUUUUCUAGAGUACUGGAGAGGUGGGCGGAACUACAAGUGUAGAGGUGAA
rnacentral:rRNA from 1 species